rnacentral:tRNA from 1 species
GCCCCCAUAGCUCAGCUGGAUAGAGCGUCCCCCUCCUAAGGGGAAGGUCGCACGUUCGAAUCGUGCUGGGGGCGCCA